UGUAGCCAAUGAAGGAAAUACUGUGGAACCAGGAACCAAGAUUGCAGUCAUUUCAAAGAAUGGUGAAGGUAUUACACAGGCUGCUCCAUCUGAGGAGGAGAAACAGAAAAAGAGGCUCCUCAGCCAUCUCAUCCUGCAGAAAAGGAUAGUGCUGAUAAGCAAAAGCCAAAAGCAAAAUAUGCUCCUGUGAAGGAUAAACAUAAAGCACCAUCCCCACCACCAACCAAGGCCUCAGCUACAGAACCUUAUCUUCCUCCCAAGGAAAGGGAAAGACGAUUUUGGAACUUCAUCAUGAUUGGAGGUUCCUAUGACAAGCGAAGGAGUAUAUUCCAGAUCUCUAUCUACUGACAUACAACAUAUGCAGCUUUUGGAAUCUCUAUAUGCUGCUGAAGGCUCCGAAGUAUUGGAUCGUCUGAGCAACAAACAAUUGCUUUAUAUGAACAUAGACUAUGCAAUUGACAUCUUUCUGAUAUAUGUUCUGACACUGUUAAUCUUCCC